GCUGGUUGCAGUGCGUCCACAAGUGGCUAUUUUUGGCCAUUUUGGCUAUUUUCAGUAUGUCUGGCCAUGUGGCCAUGGCCUGGCCAUUUUCAAGAUUUUGCUAAAAUUUUUGCAAAUACUUAAGAUUAUUUAAAAGAACAAAAAAUACCCUUUUCGUAUUAUUUAGUUUCAUCUUUUUCAAGCGUUUGGGUUUGGCAAUGUCGGGACUCGCUAAAUUAUAUUGUAAAGUAAAGUGGAGCAGACUACAAAUUUACAAUUCAAACUUUCAAGUAGUAAGGUUUCUAAGUUUCUGAUUUUAUGGAUUGAAAAACGGCCUUCACGACAAAUCGGUCGAUGCUGUAAUGAAGGGAAAGAUUUGGUUAAAAAAUAAUAAUAAGGCAUAUGCUGGUAGUAUUACAAUUCCUGAUUCGCUGUUACAACUUUCUAAAACAGUGAAAACCAAUGCUGCCAUUGUAAGUUCUGAUUCUGAUUAGCAAGCAAUAUCUCACGCUUUGAAUCCUGUGAUCGUAGUAUAUUGUUUUGCUUGAUUGUUCGUUCCUGUAUUUUUACUAAUGUAAACUUGGAAAUAAUGUCUAACAGUUUCAAAGAAAAACUUGUUUUUAAUAAAGAAAUUCUGCAAUGAGUGAUUUCGAUUUUUUAUGUAUAUAAUUUUGGCUAAAUUUUUGGCUAUUUUGAAAAUUAUAUUUGGCCAUAAUUGGCCAUAUCUGGCAACGUCGAAGGCCAGAUGAAAAAAAUCGGAGUGGAAGCACUGGCUGGUUGUCGUGGAGCUGGUACCGAAUUGGUGUUUUUGGAAAGUUGACGUAAUAGCAGAUUCCUUAGGAACGUUUUUACGAUUUUUAAGUGUCUUAUUUACGAAGAACGAAGCUAUGAAAAUCAACUUCAGGCUUGCGAUGUUUGUGUCCGUCGCUGGAUAGCGUUUAGCUUGGAAAAGAAACAUUUUGUGUCAGAUAAAGUAACCAUAACCAUGUGUUAAAACUUCUCAGAAAUUAGAUUUCGAGGAGUUACAUAACAAGUGCAAGAAGAUUGAACGAAAUGUGAAAGAGCAACACAAGAAUAAAAUACUUCCAACCUCAACUCAAGAAUCAUCAAACAAAAGAAAAUCCUAAACAGAUCUUCUUUGAAAUGGCUGAAUGUGAGGUGAACAUUCUAAAGUCAAAACAGGAAUUCAGACUGACUAUUAAACGUUUCCGUCUAAAAUCGACAGGCACUGAACAUAAUGUUUAAAGUUUGGUCUAACUACAUUAUUGCUAUGGUUGGGGAUUUGCAUUUCCUCAGUAGAAAUGUAACGCUACCGAUGCUGCAAUUCUGAUGGAAACGCUCAAAUUCAGCCUUCAGUCGUCCAUGUAUACAAUAACGCUAUUUCUAAUUCAACCGUUAUGGAGCUGUAAAAACUACAAAUGAUUUCCGUUGGGGGUUCAAGAAAAUUUGAUAGACCUAUUCCAUGGCAGUGAAAAUGGUAUGCAGAAAUGGUUAUUGAUUGCUGAGUCAGAGAACAAUAUGUAAAAUCUGACAUUCUAGCCCUCGAAACCUCAGCUGACCAUAUGCUUCAACAAGAGUAUAACGCAAUUAUAAUUUUGAGGAGGUCCCAACUCAGUUUACGCCCGGUUUACGCAGAACAUGCCCCACUUUACGACCCAGCAAUCUUUACUUGUGGUCUUCCAGUUCAGGGAAUUUGUUAUGCUCUUAUGCAUGCAAUUACUCAACAAAGAAUUAGCAGUGUAUCGAUUACGUCCGGCGUAUGUUAGGGCGUAAGAUCGUGCUCGUGCUGGUAAGCGGCGAAAUCGAUUCCGCCGUUUGUGCUACCCUUCUCCAUAAAGCACUUCUACAGGGUGAGGACUCGUCGCGAGUGCAGACCAUCCAUAUCGAUAACGGUUUCCUGUGUAAAGAUGAAUCCGAGCAGGUCGUCACUAGUUUACAGCAACUCGGGCGCAAUCU